rnacentral:rRNA from 1 species
UACAGAGGGUGCAAGCGUUAAUCGGAAUUACUGGGCGUAAAGGGUGCGUAGGUGGUUAAUUAAGUCAGAUGUGAAAUCCCAAGGCUUAACCUUGGACUGGCAUUUGAUACUGAUUAGCUAGAGUACAGAAGAGGGAAGUGGAAUUUCCGGUGUAGCGGUGAAAUGCGUAGAUAUCGGAAGGAACAUCAGUGGCGAAGGCGACUUCCUGGUCUGUUACUGACACUGAGGCACGAAAGCGUGGGGAGCGAACAGG